rnacentral:rRNA from 1 species
GAUGAACGCUGGCGGCGUGCCUAAUACAUGCAAGUCGAACGCAUUGAGAGAAGUGCUUGCACUUUUCAAUUUGAGUGGCGAACGGGUGAGUAACACGUGGGCAACCUACCUGAUAGCGGGGGAUAACGAGUGGAAACAUUCGCUAAUACCGCAUAACAAUAGAGAAGGCAUCUUCUUUAUUUAAAAGGCGCUUUCAAGCGUCACUAUCUGAUGGGCCCGCGGUGCAUUCGUUUGUUGGUGGGGUGAAGGCCUACCAGGACGAUGAUGCAUAGCCGAGUUGAGAGACUGAUCGGCCACAUUGGGACUGGGACACGGCCCAAACUCCUACGGGAGGCUGCAGUAGGGAAUCUUCCACAAUGGACGAAAGUCUGAUGGAGCAACGCCGCGUGUGUGAUGAAGGCUUUCGGGUCGUAAAGCACUGUUGUAUGGGAAGAAAUGCUAGGCUAGGAAAUGAGCUUAGUUUGACGGUACCAUACCAGAAAGGGACGGCUAAAUACGUGCCAGCCGCCGCCGUAA